UACCUUACUACUUGGAUAACCGUGGUAAUUCUAGAGCUAAUACAUGCUGAAAACCCCGACUUCGGAAGGGGUGUAUUUAUUAGAUAAAAAACCAAUGCCCUCCGGGGCUCCUUGGUGAUUCAUAAUAACUUCUCAGAUCGCAUGGCCUUGCGCCGGCGACGGUUCAUUCAAAUUUCUGCCCUAUCAACUUUCGAUGGUAAGGUAUUGGCUUACCAUGGUUUCAACGGGUAACGGGGAAUUAGGGUUCGAUUCCGGAGAGGGAGCCUGAGAAACGGCUACCACAUCCAAGGAAGGCAGCAGGCGCGCAAAUUACCCAAUCCCGACACGGGGAGGUAGUGACAAUAAAUACUGAUACAGGGCUCUUUUGGGUCUUGUAAUUGGAAUGAGUACAAUUUAAACCUCUUAACGAGGAACAAUUGGAGGGCAAGUCUGGUGCCAGCAGCCGCGGUAAUUCCAGCUCCAAUAGCGUAUAUUAAAGUUGUUGCAGUUAAAAAGCUCGUAGUUGAACCUUUGGCCUGGCUGGCAGGUCCGCCUCACCGCGUGCACUUGUCCGGCCGGGCCUUCUCUUCUGGAGAACCGCAUGCCCUUCACUGGGUGUGUUGGGGACCAGGACUUUUACUUUGAAAAAAUUAGAGUGUUCAAAGCAGGCCUUUGCUCGAAUACGUUAGCAUGGAAUAAUAGAAUAGGACGUGCGGUCCUAUUUUGUUGGUUUCUAGGACCGCCGUAAUGAUUAAUAGGGACAGUCGGGGGCAUCAGUAUUCAAUUGUCAGAGGUGAAAUUCUUGGAUUUAUUGAAGACUAACUACUGCGAAAGCAUUUGCCAAGGAUGUUUUCAUUAAUCAGUGAACGAAAGUUAGGGGAUCGAAGACGAUCAGAUACCGUCGUAGU
rnacentral:rRNA from 1 species